rnacentral:rRNA from 1 species
AUUAGAGGCGCAGCUAAAGAAAUAAGUAGCCCGCCUGGGGAGUACAGUCGCAAGACUAAAACUCAAAUGAAUUGACGGGGGCCCGCACAAGCGGUGGAGCAUGUGGUUUAAUUCGAUGCAACGCGAAGAACCUUACCUGGCCUUGACAUACAGAGAACUUUCCAGAGAUGGAUUGGUGCCUUCGGGAACUCUGAUACAGGUGCUGCAUGGCUGUCGUCAGCUCGUGUCGUGAGAUGUUGGGUUAAGUCCCGCAACGAGCGCAACCCUUUUCCUUAUUUGCCAGCACUUCGGGUGGGAACUUUAAGGAUACUGCCAGUGACAAACUGGAGGAAGGCGGGGACGACGUCAAGUCAUCAUGGCCCUUACGGCCAGGGCUACACACGUGCUACAAUGGUCGGUACAAAGGGUUGCUACUGCGCGAGCAGAUGCUAAUCUCAAAAAGCCGAUCGUAGUCCGGAUCGCAGUCUGCAACUCGACUGCGUGAAGUCGGAAUCGCUAGUAAUCGCGGAUCAGAAUGCCGCGGUGAAUACGUUCCCGGGCCUUGUACACACCGCCCGUCACACCAUGGGAGUUUGUUGCACCAGAAGUAGGUAGUCUAACCUUAGGGAGGACGCUACC